GGAUUAGAUACCCUGGUAGUCCACGCCGUAAACGAUGUCAACUAGCCGUUGGUUUUAUUAAUAAAAUUAGUGGCGCAGCUAACGCGAUAAGUUGACCGCCUGGGGAGUACGGUCGCAAGACUAAAACUCAAAUGAAUUGACGGGGGCCCGCACAAGCGGUGGAGCAUGUGGUUUAAUUCGAUGCAACGCGAAGAACCUUACCAUCCCUUGACAUCCUCAGAACUUGUAAGAGAUUACUCGGUGCCUUCGGGAAUUGAGAGACAGGUGCUGCAUGGCUGUCGUCAGCUCGUGCCG
rnacentral:rRNA from 1 species